rnacentral:rRNA from 1 species
GACGAACGCUGGCGGCGUGCCUAAUACAUGCAAGUCGAGCGAAGUUUUUCUGGUGCUUGCACUAGAAAAACUUAGCGGCGAACGGGUGAGUAACACGUAAAGAACCUGCCUCAUAGACUGGGACAACUAUUGGAAACGAUAGCUAAUACCGGAUAACAGUAUUUCUCGCAUGAGAGAUAUUUAAAAGUUGGUUAUGCUAACACUAUGAGAUGGCUUUGCGGUGCAUUAGCUAGUUGGUGGGGUAAAGGCCCACCAAGGCGACGAUGCAUAGCCGACCUGAGAGGGUGAUCGGCCACACUGGGACUGAGACACGGCCCAGACUCCUACGGGGGGCAGCAGUAGGGAAUCUUCCGCAAAGGGCGAAAGCCUGACGGAGCAACGCCGCGUGAGUGAAGAAGGAUUUCGGUUCGUAAAGCUCUGUUGUUAGGGAAGAAUGGAUAUGUAGUAACUAUACAUGUAAGAGACGGUACCUAACCAGAAAGCCACGGCUAACUACGUG